GCUUAUCCAGUACUUCACACUUGUAGGCACUGGGUGCGUUUGAGUGGUAAACCGAAAGUAGCCGGAAAUCGAUGAAGGCGAUGGGGAGACACAUUAUGGACAAGCUCCUGUACAGAUUGCAGCGGGCAUGCAACGCCUUCCUCUUGAUCUUGAUUUACUUACAGUUUGUCUGCACCAUUGAGAUGAUAUUUAUCAGCUCACUAUCAAAUCAAGUACACUUGCCUCAAGAGGUGUGCAGGGUCUCUCCAAUCUGUAUAGUCUAGUCAAUGCUGAAAUGGAAGAAGGAAAUGCCCCAUCAGUUGUUGCUGGCGAAAUGAGACGUCUUAAACUGACUUUCAGAACAGCACCUUCGACAGCUGAUUGAAAUGGAUCUGCCUGUACCUUGCAUCGCCAAACUGCUUGUCACCUCAGCACAAACUGACCAACACAGAAUGCAGGAAUACAGUAUUGUGGUGAGGAGAACAUGCAGCCAAAUGAUAGACGAGGAGCUGGACAAUCUGGUGGCCACAAUCAAGACAAGUUCACCACAAUUAGGAUGGUGUGAGAACUUCUGAAAGCAAUGGGUCAUCAAGUCCAGUGGACCCGAGUGUGGGACUCAGUGCUUCGUGUAGAUGCUGCAGGAAUACAGGAAAGAGUGGCAGGACUUGGAUGUGUUGUCAGAAGAACAUACUCUGUUCAGGCUCCUCUUUCCGUCAUACACGUGGACACCAACGACAAGAUGAUCAGAUAUGGUUUUGUAAUAUUUGGUGGCAUAGACGGCUUCUCAAGAAAGAUCAUGUACCUCGGUGCAGCAACCAACAACAAAGCAUCAACCGCCCUUGGAUUCUUGACUGGACUCUGUAGCGAAGCAAGGCUUUCCAUUGAGGUGAGAGCAGACCAAGGCAUGGAGAAUGUGGACAUCGCAACAUGCAUGUUUCAUGUCUGAGGUUGUGGCAGGGGAAGCUUUAUCUCUGGUAAAAGUGUUCACGAUCAACAGUCAUUUCCACCACUAUUUGUUUGUGCUGAAUACAUAGAUUAUGACCACAUAUUAUUGAAAUUUGAUCUGGUCUAUACAUUCUAGAGUAUAGUUAGGCAGGUGGCCUACACCUAAAUUAUAACCCCUGCACUGAGUAGAGAUAACAAGCUGUGCUGUUUCAUGUAUAACUGGUAUUUCAAUGCUUUGCAAAGGAGUGCCUUAUACAGACAAGGAGUGCCUUAUACAGACAAGGAGUGCCUUAUAGACCACGUUUCCUUUCAGUUUUUUGGCAAGUUAAGUCAUACCGUAUAAAAAAGAUAUACAAUGACAGUUUUAUUGGAAACAGGAAGUGUCGGUAAAAUCUGAUAAAUGCCGACAGAUCAUUUGUUCGUUGGACAUGGUGCGAUCUUUAAAAACUAAUUGUGUGAGAAUUGUUGGUGGAAACGCCUUUAAGCGCAAAUAAUUAUAUAAUAACCAUCAUAUUUAAGUAAAUUUAGUCACGAGAUGAAACAGUAUGUUGUGUGGUCCUCCCACUAUGCCUCGGGAAACCAUGCAGUUCAUUAGGCUACAGAUUAAAUAAAUUAUGAACUUCACAGGGUGGUGAAAGUGCACAGUGAUCUUGAUGCUCCUUUCCACUAGAUAUUUAGGGUCUUAUUCUGGUGACAUGAUGAUCGAUACUUGGCUGCCAAUUGACAAAUGAUUCUUGUUCUUAUCAAUAACAAUCUCAUCAUGUAGACUAGCCUACAUUGCGUGAAGCUGUUGUAUCAGCAAACUGUUGUCUAGAGCGCAGGUACCAAGACCAGAGUGGGCGCGUUUGCUAUUUAACCCAAACAUUUGUGACAACUAUCCGUAGAGUUGAAAAUGAAAUGGAUUUUGUGUACACUAUGUCAUCACACACUGAUUUUGGAUCUUCAACAAGUCUGUUUGGUAGAAAACACCACUAUUAGGAAAAUGUGCAUAUUAUCUUUACCCAGACUUCAGAAUAUUCGCAUAAAAAAAUCUGUAGCCAAUUGGAUGGAAACGUAGCUAUGGAAACCUAGCUAUAGAAUCCAAUGUCAAUUCAAUCUCUCACAUGCAUUGAAGAAAACAGUUCAAUUCAACAGGAGACGGUGAAGUAGAAAUGCAAAGUACCUUAGAAUACUUUGACCAAUUACAUCUCCUUAUGCACAGAAAGGUUACAAUAAUAGUAAUAACUUGUGUGGGACAGAGGACUGGGUAUGAUGUUCAAUGUUUCAUUAUGUUGCUUCAAAUGUUCUCUCAUAUGCUUUCAGGUUUGAACAGUUAUGGCAGGACUUGUAGAUGGCCAUGUCAAACAUAUUUGACAGGUCAAGGGAGCCCUCAUCUUCCAAACUGUGUAGGACAUUGUAAAACAGCCUUCACUUAUUCUGUGUGCACCAUGUAUUCCUCCCACGCCUCCAAGCAGACCUAGACACCUUAACCAAUGGAUGGGAUAAACAUUCUCUGCACACCGAGCAAAAUCUGACCCCCUACCAGCUAUGGGAAAUGGGACAAGCAGAGAAUCCUGUCACCUUCCCCGGCAAUGUGGAAGUAUAGAUUUAAAGUAUCCACUAUGAAAAUGUAAUUAAGUCUUAUCUAAAAAAUAAAUAAAAAACGGGUUGUUUGUAAAUGAACAUGAUCUUCCAUGUUCAGGAUUUAAACAACUGCCUGCCUGUCGGAGGAGCAUGGCCAGGGAAUUUUGGUCCCACCAGUGGAGUGCCCGCUGACAGAGCAGGAUAUGACACUGCUCAGAGCAGCCAUCGACCCAACCUCACCAUCGAGACUAUGGACAAGAUAUUUAUGCAUCUGUUUUGAACUACGUGCUGCUACUUAUGGAUGAAUGAUCCUUACACCUCUGCUGAUACUGUCUCAAGGAAUAACCGUCUAGUCCAGUAAUUCUAGAAUGCUGCAAUGUUAUGUAAUGUGGUCACAGUAAAAUUAUAACAAUUGGUUGAUUUUGAUUGGCCACUAAUGUUGUGGAAAAUUUUAUCCAACGAUUAAGGCAGCAACUAUAUAAUUGCAUAAUAGAUCAAUCUUUAAUCAAGCAGUUGCAGGGGAGAUCUGAUUUCACAGGGAAGUACUCGAGGAGUAAAUGGUGACAUGUCCGGUGUUAUAGUGGGAGGUGAUCAGUUAAUGAUAUUGUUACACAACAGUUAUUUUAUACAAGCAACAGUUCCAGAACACAAUGGCCUUGUUUUAGUGUGCAGACAUACCAGGAGUCUAUGAAAGGCAUGACAUCAGUCUAACACAGAACAGGCUACAGAACAGCUCACCCCAAAUUCGACCACCACUCUAUGGACAACAGAAUCAAUGUUUAUCUAAAUGACUAAAUGGAGAUGUUUGAAUACAAAAGAGAUGCAGUCAUUAAAAUGUUCAAACUUUCCAUUUUUUUUCUAUAUGGGGAAAAGUGAUCCUUUUGACAAAAAAAUAAACCUUCAAAUAGAAAAAAUCGACCCUGAAUUAUGUGAUACAUGUAACGUCAACUAAGCAAAAAAAGAAAUGUCCUCUCACUGUCAACUGCGUUUAUUUUCAGCAAA